AUCCCAGUAGCACAAUUGAUAGCACUUUGGGCUUUUAAUACAAAGGUCGUGGAUUCGAAUCCCACCUGGGAUG
rnacentral:tRNA from 1 species